rnacentral:rRNA from 1 species
GGGGAAUAUUGGACAAUGGGGGCAACCCUGAUCCAGCCAUGCCGCGUGAGUGAAGAAGGCCCUAGGGUUGUAAAGCUCUUUCAGAUGUGAGGAUGAUGACAGUAGCAUCAGAAGAAGCACCGGCUAACUUCGUGCCAGCAGCCGCGGUAAUACGAAGGGUGCUAGCGUUGUUCGGAAUUACUGGGCGUAAAGGGCGUGUAGGCGGAUGAUCAAGCUAGGGGUGAAAGCCCAGGGCCCAACCCUGGAACUGCCUUUAGAACUGAUUGUCUAGAAUCCGUAAGGGGAGUGUGGAAUUCCUAGUGUAGAGGUGAAAUUCGUAGAUAUUAGGAAGAACACCAGUGGCGAAGGCGGCACUCUGGUACGGUAUUGACGCUGAGGCGCGAAAGCGUGGGGAGCAAACAGG